rnacentral:rRNA from 2 species
UUUCCGUAGGUGAACCUGCGGAAGGAUCAUUACAGAGUUCAUGCCCGAAAGGGUAGACCUCCCACCCUUGUGUAUUAUUACUUUGUUGCUUUGGCGAGCUGCCUUCGGGCCUUGUAUGCUCGCCAGAGAAAACCAAAACUCUUUUUAUUAAUGUCGUCUGAGUACUAUAUAAUAGUUAAAACUUUCAACAACGGAUCUCUUGGUUCUGGCAUCGAUGAAGAACGCAGCGAAAUGCGAUAAGUAAUGUGAAUUGCAGAAUUCAGUGAAUCAUCGAAUCUUUGAACGCACAUUGCGCCCCUUGGUAUUCCGGGGGGCAUGCCUGUUCGAGCGUCAUUUCAACCCUCAAGCUUAGCUUGGUAUUGAGUCUAUGUCAGUAAUGGCAGGCUCUAAAAUCAGUGGCGGCGCCGCUGGGUCCUGAACGUAGUAAUAUCUCUCGUUACAGGUUCUCGGUGUGCUUCUGCCAAAACCCAAAUUUUUCUAUGGUUGACCUCGGAUCAGGUAGGGAU